ensembl:miRNA mir-2219 ncRNA
ACAGCUUUCUCUCGCACAUCGUCAGCUAGAUUUGAACUCUGUAUGAAAGCUGACGAAGUGCGAGGGAAAGCUGAAG